AGUAUAACCAACGGUUUAGCUAAGCCAAUCAAACAAUUUUUUUUUUUAAAUUUUUUAUUAUCAAAAACCCUAAUUUAUUCAUUAAAUUUUACUUCACUCUGCAUGUUAGCUUUGUUUGGUUCAUUGUUUAGCAAAAAAAAAAAAAAAAAAAAAGCCUUGUUUGGUUCAUCAAUGGCGAACCUUCCGAUCCUCCAAUUAGAGGAGCAAAUCGUAGAAACGGUGGACCGGAACCCGGUGGUGGUGAUAAUCGGAGAGACCGGUUCAGGAAAGAGCACCCAGGUCUCUCAGAUUCUGCACCGCAGAGGCUAAACCAAGUCUGGAAUCAUCGGCGUCACUCAGCCUCGUCGAGUCACUGCAGUUUCAGUCGCCAGGUUGCUUUAAAGAUCAUCUCUAGCGCAUGGUCUGGAGUUGAGGAAACCACCGAAUGGGGUGUUAUAGCUAUAUAGGUGAAAAACUACGCACGACAUGCAAUAUGCUAAUCCCAUUAACUAAUAUAUCAAACCUUAAUUGAGAUAAUAUAUCUAGAAGGUAA